AUUGAACGCUGGCGGCAGGCCUAACACAUGCAAGUCGAACGAGUGGCGGACGGGUGAGUAAUGUCUGGGAAACUGCCUGAUGGAGGGGGAUAACUACUGGAAACGGUAGCUAAUACCGCAUACCAUCGGAUGUGCCCAAGUGGGAUUAGGUAGUUGGUGGGGUAAUGGCCUACCAAGCCGACGAGCUCUAGCUGGUCUGAGAGGAUGACCAGCCACACCGGGACUGAGACACGGCCCGGACUCCUACGGGAGGCAGCAGUGGGGAAUAUUGCGCAAUGGGGGCAACCCUGACGCAGCCAUGCCGCGUGAAUGAAGAAGGCCUUCGGGUUGUAAAGUUCUUUCGGUGACGAGGCGUUAAUCACAGAAGAAGCACCGGCUAACUCCGUGCCAGCAGCCGCGGUAAUAC
rnacentral:rRNA from 1 species